GGGUUCGAUUCGAGCGCAGCGAGAAAAGCAGACUGUAAAUCUGCCGUCAUCGACUUCGAAGGUUCGAAUCCUUCCCCCACCA
rnacentral:tRNA from 1 species